GAUCUUCCAGAAGCAGGGCCGGGCCCUGGCCGCCAGGGCGGCCAAGGACGUACGGAUCCUGGUCGUCGGAAACCCGUGCAACACCAACUGCCUGAUCGCCUACCGCAACGGCCGGGACAUCCCGGCCAAACAGUGGUCGGCCAUGACCCGGCUCGACCACAACCGGGCCGUGGCCGCCCUGGCCAAGAAGGCCGGCGUGCCGAACGAGGCGGUCACCUGCGUGACCAUCUGGGGGAACCACUCGAACACCCAGUACCCGGACUUCACGAACGCCAAAAUCAACGGCAAGCCGGCGACCUCGGUCAUCACCGACCGGGCCUGGCUGGAGACAGUCUUCGUCCCGCAGUGCCAGGAGCGGGGCAAGGCGG
rnacentral:misc_RNA from 1 species